rnacentral:rRNA from 1 species
GGGUUGUGAGGUUAAGCGACUAAGCGUACACGGUGGAUGCCCUGGCAGUCAGAGGCGAUGAAGGGCGUGCUAAUCUGCGAUAAGCGCCGGUAAGGUGAUAUGAACCGUUAUAACCGGCGAUACCCGAAUGGGGAAACCCAGUGUGAUUCGUCACACUAUCAUUAACUGAAUCCAUAGGUUAAUGAGGCGAACCGGGGGAACUGAAACAUCUAAGUACCCCGAGGAAAAGAAAUCAACCGAGAUUCCCCCAGUAGCGGCGAGCGAACGGGGAGGAGCCCAGAGCCUGAAUCAGCAUGUGUGUUAGUGGAAGCGUCUGGAAAGGCGCGCGAUACAGGGUGACAGCCCCGUACACAAAAGCGCAUGUGCUGUGAGCUCGAUGAGUAGGGCGGGACACGUGGUAUCCUGUCUGAAUAUGGGGGGACCAUCCUCCAAGGCUAAAUACUCCUGACUGACCGAUAGUGAACCAGUACCGUGAGGGAAAGGCGAAAAGAACCCCGGCGAGGGGAGUGAAAAAGAACCUGAAACCGUGUACGUACAAGCAGUGGGAGCNGUGACUGCGUACCUUUUGUAUAAUGGGUCAGCGACUUAUAUUCUGUAGCAAGGUUAACCGUAUAGGGGAGCCGGAGGGAAACCGAGUCUUAAUUGGGCGUUAAGUUGCAGGGUAUAGACCCGAAACCCGGUGAUCUAGCCAUGGGCAGGUUGAAGGUUGGGUAACACUAACUGGAGGACCGAACCGACUAAUGUUGAAAAAUUAGCGGAUGACCUGUGGCUGGGGGUGAAAGGCCAAUCAAACCGGGAGAUAGCUGGUUCUCCCCGAAAGCUAUUUAGGUAGCGCCUCGUGAAUUCAUCUCCGGGGGUAGAGCACUGUUUCGGCUAGGGGGCCAUCCCGGCUUACCAACCCGAUGCAAACUGCGAAUACCGGAGAAUGUUAUCACGGGAGACACACGGCGGGUGCUAACGUCCGUCGUGAAGAGGGAAACAACCCAGACCGCCAGCUAAGGUCCCAAAGUCAUGGUUAAGUGGGAAACGAUGUGGGAAGGCCCAGACAGCCAGGAUGUUGGCUUAGAAGCAGCCAUCAUUUAAAGAAAGCGUAAUAGCUCACUGGUCGAGUCGGCCUGCGCGGAAGAUGUAACGGGGCUAAACCAUGCACCGAAGCUGCGGCAGCGANUGCUGGAGGUAUCAGAAGUGCGAAUGCUGACAUAAGUAACGAUAAAGCGGGUGAAAAGCCCGCUCGCCGGAAGACCAAGGGUUCCUGUCCAACGUUAAUCGGGGCAGGGUGAGUCGACCCCUAAGGCGAGGCCGAAAGGCGUAGUCGAUGGGAAACGGGUUAAUAUUCCCGUACUUGGUGUUACUGCGAAGGGGGGACGGAGAAGGCUAUGUUGGCCGGGCGACGGUUGUCCCGGUUUAAGCGUGUAGGUGUGUGUUCCAGGUAAAUCCGGUUCACUUUAACACUGAGGCGUGACGACGAGGCACUACGGUGCUGAAGCAACAAAUGCCCUGCUUCCAGGAAAAGCCUCUAAGCAUCAGGUAACACGAAAUCGUACCCCAAACCGACACAGGUGGUCAGGUAGAGAAUACCAAGGCGCUUGAGAGAACUCGGGUGAAGGAACUAGGCAAAAUGGUGCCGUAACUUCGGGAGAAGGCACGCUGACACGUAGGUGAAGUGAUUUACUCAUGGAGCUGAAGUCAGUCGAAGAUACCAGCUGGCUGCAACUGUUUAUUAAAAACACAGCACUGUGCAAACACGAAAGUGGACGUAUACGGUGUGACGCCUGCCCGGUGCCGGAAGGUUAAUUGAUGGGGUCAGCGUAAGCGAAGCUCCUGAUCGAAGCCCCGGUAAACGGCGGCCGUAACUAUAACGGUCCUAAGGUAGCGAAAUUCCUUGUCGGGUAAGUUCCGACCUGCACGAAUGGCGUAAUGAUGGCCAGGCUGUCUCCACCCGAGACUCAGUGAAAUUGAACUCGCUGUGAAGAUGCAGUGUACCCGCGGCAAGACGGAAAGACCCCGUGAACCUUUACUAUAGCUUGACACUGAACAUUGAGCCUUGAUGUGUAGGAUAGGUGGGAGGCUUUGAAGUGUGGACGCCAGUCUGCAUGGAGCCGACCUUGAAAUACCACCCUUUAAUGUUUGAUGUUCUAACGUGGACCCGUAAUCCGGGUUGCGGACAGUGUCUGGUGGGUAGUUUGACUGGGGCGGUCUCCUCCUAAAGAGUAACGGAGGAGCACGAAGGUUGGCUAAUCCUGGUCGGACAUCAGGAGGUUAGUGCAAUGGCAUAAGCCAGCUUGACUGCGAGCGUGACGGCGCGAGCAGGUGCGAAAGCAGGUCAUAGUGAUCCGGUGGUUCUGAAUGGAAGGGCCAUCGCUCAACGGAUAAAAGGUACUCCGGGGAUAACAGGCUGAUACCGCCCAAGAGUUCAUAUCGACGGCGGUGUUUGGCACCUCGAUGUCGGCUCAUCACAUCCUGGGGCUGAAGUAGGUCCCAAGGGUAUGGCUGUUCGCCAUUUAAAGUGGUACGCGAGCUGGGUUUAGAACGUCGUGAGACAGUUCGGUCCCUAUCUGCCGUGGGCGCUGGAGAACUGAGGGGGGCUGCUCCUAGUACGAGAGGACCGGAGUGGACGCAUCACUGGUGUUCGGGUUGUCAUGCCAAUGGCACUGCCCGGUAGCUAAAUGCGGAAGAGAUAAGUGCUGAAAGCAUCUAAGCACGAAACUUGCCCCGAGAUGAGUUCUCCCUGAGACUUAGAGUCUCCUGAAGGAACGUUGAAGACGACGACGUUGAUAGGCCGGGUGUGUAAGCGCAGCGAUGCGUUGAGCUAACCGGUACUAAUGAACCGUGAGGCUUAACCUUACAACGCCGAAG